rnacentral:rRNA from 1 species
CAGCCGCCGCGGGAAUACGAGGGGAGCUAGCGUUAUUCGGAAUUACUGGGCGUAAAGCGCACGUAGGCGGCUUUGUAAGUUAGAGGUGAAAGCCCAGAGCUCAACUCUGGAAUUGCCUUUAAGACUGCAUCGCUUGAAUCCAGGAGAGGUGAGUGGAAUUCCGAGUGUAGAGGUGAAAUUCGUAGAUAUUCGGAAGAACACCAGUGGCGAAGGCGGCUCACUGGACUGGUAUUGACGCUGAGGUGCGAAAGCGUGGGGAGCAAACAGGAUUAGAUACCCCAGUAGUCCCUGUCUCUUAUAU